CGCGCUGAGGGGUCUGGGCGCUGUCCGGGCUCUUCCAGGGAAGCUCGGGCAGCUCUUCCCGCAGCGCUGGGGAUCCCGGUGUCCCUCUCACCCGCUGAAUCACACGCAGGACGGGUCAGGCCGGAAGGGAGCACGGCGAGUCUCCUGGUGCCACCUCCCUUCUCAUCCCAGAGCACAUGGCGCAGGGCUGUGUCCAGACGGGUCUGGGAUAUCUCCAGGGAGGGAGACUCCGCGACCCCUCUGGGCAAUCUGUGCCCCUGCCUGGCCACUCGUACGGUGAAAAAGUUCCUUGUUUUCAGGUGGAACUUCUGUCCAUGGGUUCCUGCCCCUUGCCUCCCAUGUCCUGGUGGUUGGCACCACCGAGCAGAGUGUGGCUCCAUCUUCUUGGCAUCCCUUCUUCAGAGCCCACAGCGCUCCAAAUGUGGUCUCACCUGGGCCGAACAGAGCUGCAGGAUCGCCCACCCCAAUGCCCGGCUCUCAGCAGCCCUAUAAUGACAGGGGUGGUUACAUCUUCCCCUGUAAUGCCUUCCCACGGUGCUCAGCAUCACUGUGCCACCAGCAAGACCAUGCAGAAGGUGGUGUGUGUCCCAUUCCUUGUGUUAUCUGGAUUCAAGAUACUAAUUUGUUAUUUUAGAGAACUAAAAGCUCUAAACUAGAGAACUAAAGCACUGAGAACUCCUCAGUGAGGAGAGGAAGUGAGGAUUUGCAGUCUUUAAAACCUCAUACAAAGCAGCCAGCCGGCCUCCAUCACGCGGAUUCCUGGACUGAAACACAAAGCUGGGCGCUGUGGGGCUGUGUCCCUGCCACAGGAGCGGCUCAGGCAGAGUUCCCAGCCGGAGUGGGAGGAAGCAGGAGGGAGCGACAGGCAGUCUGCUCGGCUCCUGCUGCCCUUCCUGCCCCGGCAAGGCACAGCCACCGCUUCCUUCCUCCUGCCUUGGGGUGAGAACAGCUCUGUGUGCCUUGGAUGUGGUCCAUUCCCGGGUGAGGAUCCCUUCUGCCCUCAUUCCCACCUCUUUUAAAUCUCUGGGCUCUUUAGUAGCUGAGCACAGGUAGCCCUGGGCUUGCAGCAGCUGGCAGGAGGGGGAUGAUGCUUGCAGAGCUUUGGGAAAGCAGCAGAGGGAUGUCCCUGCCUCUCUUCCACGUGGGUUGAUUUAGCAGAGUCUUGGCCAGGAGGAAUCCCCCAGAUUUUAAGCAAAGAGCACAUCCUGGCCUGAGCUUCCCAAAGGUGCCAGUGGUCCAGCAUCCCGAGCAGAGGCAGGGAAGGGGAACAAACCCCAUCUGCAGAGGUGCCUCCUCAGCAUGGGAACGGGAUACCCGGCUUUUGCAAUGCCAGCACCUUUCCUCACGCUCACCCUGGGCUGGGAAGGCUGUGGCACACGCUGAACCGGUUUCUGCACUUCUUGGGGUGAGAAAUCCACCCCCUGCUCCAGCCAGCCCCACGCCAGGAGUGGAACAACAGGUGGCAGCUUUAGGGCUGGCAUUUGCUGGCCCUUCCUUGCUGAGUUUGGGAUGACUUUCCCACGCCGGCAGGAUUUGGGGUGUCCUUGCCAAAUGUGUGCUUAGCAUGGGAGGUUCCCUCCAGGAACAGAGUUCCAAGGAGUUGCUGGUCCAGUUUGUCUCUCCCUGUCCCACAAAGACCUUGUGCUCCCCAAAAACCUCAUGAUCCUCCCAUGACUUCCACCUGUGCCUGAAACCUUUGCUGCACUGGGAAUGGAAAACGUCCUGUAGCCUCAUAGAAUUACUAGCCAGGAAUUUCAGAAAUCCUUCAAUAAAUUCUGUGAACGCUUUA